UUUUUCCUGGUCUCUACCCAAGAAAGAGUCCUCUUUUUCUGCAGUCCUGCCUGGGAUGAAAGCAGUGGUGUUCUUAGGGUAGAAGUAAUGGGUUCUUGAAGCUUUUUGCCUGUGAGCCAGCAGAGGAAAACCACACAUGUAUAUCCUAAAGAAGUGUUUUAAAGUGUCUACAGGAAGCAACAGAUUUUACAAUUUGAUGGAGGAGGGACUGUGGCCCAUCCUAAGAAGAGGCAGUAGGAUGAGAUACAUAUUUGUGAGGCCAUCUUUGAAAGUAUAACUGCAAACACCUGUGGAGGAAAUACUGUGUCCCACAAAAUAACCUGGCUGUCAAAUGAUCUAGUUCAUCUUUGUUACUUUAAAAAAAUUUUCAUGAAUGCUUUCCUUGAUCUGA